AGCUCGUCGGGCUCAUAACCCGAAGGUCGUUGGUUCAAAUCCAGCCCCCGCUA
rnacentral:tRNA from 1 species